UGCCUACGGGAGGCAGCAGUGAGGAAUAUUGGUCAAUGGGCGCGAGCCUGAACCAGCCAAGUUGCGUGAGGGAGGACGGCCCUACGGGUUGUAAACCUCUUUUACCGGGGAGCAACGGGCGUCACGUGUGGCGCCACUGAGAGUACCCGGAGAAAAAGCAUCGGCUAACUCCGUGCCAGCAGCCGCGGUAAUACGUAGGUGGCAAGCGUUAUCCGGAUUUAUUGGGUGUAAAGGGCGUGUAGGCGGGAGCGCAAGUCAGAUGUGAAAACGCAGGGGUCAACCC
rnacentral:rRNA from 1 species